rnacentral:misc_RNA from 1 species
UCACGGUUUACACCGGCAGUUUCGUUAGAGUUCCCGGCAUGACCCGCUGGCAACUAACGAUAAGGGUUGCGCUCGUUAUGGGACUUAACCCGACACCUCACGGCACGAGCUGACGACAACCAUGCAGCACCUUGCAAAGAGUCCCGAAGGAAAGAAGUAUUUCUACCUCAUGCACUCUACAUUUAAGCCCAGGUAAGGUUCCUCGCGUUGCGUCGAAUUAAACCACAUGCUCCACCGCUUGUGCGGGCCCCCGUCAAUUCCUUUGAGUUUCAACCUUGCGGCCGUACUCCCCAGGCGGGGCACUUAUUGCGUUAGCGACGGCACCGGGAGGGUCGCUCCCCCCGACGCCUAGUGCCCAUCGUUUACGGCGUGGACUAC